rnacentral:lncRNA from 1 species
AUUCAUAUGGAAACAAAAAAGAGCCCAAAUAGCCAAGGCCAUCAUAAGCAAAAAGAACAAAGCCGGAGGCAUCAUAUUAUCCAACUUUGGACAAUACUACAGAGCUACAGUAACCAAAACAGCAUGACACUGGUACAAAAACAGACACAUAAACCAAUGGAACAGAACAGACAGCCCAAAAAUAAGGUUACACACCUACAACCAUCUGAUCUUAGACAAAGCUGACAAAAAUAAGCAGUGGAGAAAAGACUCCCUAGUCAACAAAUGGUGCUGGGAUAACUGGCUAGUCAUACAUAGAAGAUUGAAGCCGGACCCCUUCCUUAUACCACGUACAAAAAGCAACUCUAGAUGGAUUAAAGACUUAAAUGUAAAACCCAAAAUUAUAAACACCCUGGGAGACAACCUAGGCAGUAUCAUCCUGGGCGUAGAAAUGAGCAAAGAUUUCACGAUUCAUGCAAUUUCUGCAACAAAAGGAAGAAUUGACAAAUGGGAUCCGAUUAAACUUAGGAACCUCUGUAGAGCAAAAGAAACUUUCAUCAGAGAGAAAAGACAAACUACAGAAUGGGAGAAAAUAUUUGCAAACUAUGCCUCUGACAAAGGUUUCAUAUCCAGCAUCUAUAAGGAACUUAAAUUUACAAGAGAAAAACAACCCCAUUAAAAAGUGGGCAAAGGACAUGAACAGACACUUUUUUAAAGUGUCUUAUACAUGUGGCCAAGAAGCAUUUGAAAAAAACUAAAUAUCACUCAUCAUUAGAGAAAUAAAGCAAAACCACCAUGAGAUACCAUCUCACACAGUCAGAAUGACUAUCGUUAAAAAGUGAAAAAAUAACAGAUGCUGGUGAGGUUGUGGAGAAAAAGAAACUAACACACUGUUGGUGGGAGUGUAGAGUAGUUCAACCCCUGUGGAAAGCAGUGUGGUGAUUCCUCAAAGAGUUAGAAGCAGAACUACCAUUCGACCCAGCAAUCCUAUUACGGGGUAUAUACCCAGAGGAAUAUAAAUCGUUCUACCAUAAAGACACAUGCACAUGAAUGUUCGCUGCAGCACUAUUCACAAAAGCAAAGACAUGGAAUCAACUUAAAUGCCCAGCAUUGACAGACUGAAUACAGAGAAUGUGGUACAUAUAUACCAUGGACUACUACACAGCCAUAGAAAGAAUAAGACCCACGUCCUCUACAGGAACACGGAUGGAGCUGGAGGCCGUUAUCUUUAGCAAACUAACCCAGGAGGAGAAAAACAAAUUCUGCAUGUUCUCACUUACAAGUGGGAGCUAAGUAAUGAGAACACAUAGACACAGAGGGGAACACCACACACUGGGGUCUAUCAGAGGGUGGAGUGUGGGAGGAGGGAGAGGAGCACGAAAUCUAACUAUCGAGUAGCGGGCUGAAUUAAACCUGGGUGAUGAAAUAGCCUGUACCAUAAAUCCCCGUGACAUGAGUUAACCUGUGCAAGAAGCCUUCGCAUGUGCCCUGGAACCAAAAAUAAAAGCUAAAAAAGAAAAAAAAA